rnacentral:rRNA from 1 species
AGAGUUUGAUCAUGGCUCAGAUUGAACGCUGACGGCGUGCCUAACACAUGCAAGUCGAGCGGUAACAGGUGUAGCAAUACAUGCUGACGAGCGGCGGACGGGUGAGUAACGCUUGGGAAUCUGCCUGUUAGUGGGGGACAACCCGGGGAAACUCGGGCUAAUACCGCAUACGCACUACGGUGGAAAGCCGGGGACCGCAAGGCCUGGCGCUAACAGAUGAGCCCAAGUCGGAUUAGCUAGUUGGUAGGGUAACGGCCUACCAAGGCGACGAUCCGUAACUGGUCUGAGAGGACGACCAGUCACACCGGAACUGAGACACGGUCCGGACUCCUACGGGAGGCAGCAGUGGGGAAUAUUGGACAAUGGGGGAAACCCUGAUCCAGCGACGCCGCGUGGGUGAAGAAGGCCUGCGGGUUGUAAAGCCCUUUCGGUAGGGACGAAAGCUCUUGCUCUAACAAAGCAGGAGGUUGACUUAACCUACAUAAGAAGCACCGGCUAACUCUGUGCCAGCCGCCGCGGUAAUUC